UGAGUAACGCGUUGGUGACCUGCCCCGGAGUGUGGGAUAACAGGCCGAAAGGCUUGCUAAUACCGCAUGAUGUCACGGAGUUUAGAAGUCCGUGAAGAAAAGAGAAAUCUACUCUGGGAGGGGCCUGCGACCCAUCAGCUAGUUGGUAAGGUAACGGCCUACCAAGGCGAUGACGGGUAGGGGACCUGAGAGGGUGGCCCCCCACAAUGGAACUGAAACACGGUCCAUACACCUACGGGUGGCAGCAGUAGGGGAUAUUGCUUAAUGGGCGAAAGCCUGAAGCAGCAACGCCGCGUGUGCGAUGAAGGCCUUCGGGUUGUAAAGCACUUUUGGCAGGGAAGAGGAAGGACGGUACCUGCCGAAUCAGCCUCGGCUAACUACGUGCCAGCAGCCGCGGUAAAACGUAGGAGGCGAGCGUUAUCCGGAUUUACUGGGUGUAAAGCGCGUGCAGGCGGUCUGUUAAGUUGGAUGUGAAAGCCCCCGGCUCA
rnacentral:rRNA from 1 species